rnacentral:misc_RNA from 1 species
UCCGGUUCGGCCCGGCAGUCUUCCUAGAGUCCCCGCCAUUACGCGCUGGCAACUAAGAACAGGGGUUGCGCUCGUUGCGGGACUUAACCCAACAUCUCACGACACGAGCUGACGACAACCAUGCAGCACCUCUGCGGACUCCCUUGCGGGUCAGCCCCAGUUUCUUGGGACUUACCAUCCGUAGUUCAAGCCCGGGUAAGGUUCUUCGCGUUGCGUCGAAUUAAACCACAUGCUCCACCGCUUGUGCGGGCCCCGUCAAUUCCUUUGAGUUUCAGUCUUGCGACCGUACUCCCCAGGCGGAGUGCUUAAUGUGUUGACUUCGGCACAGCAGGGGUCGAUACCCGCUACACCAAGCACUCAUCGUUUACGGGGUGGACUAC